GCAGCCGCGGUAAUACGGAGGGUGCAAGCGUUGCUCGGAAUUAUUGGGCGUAAAGGGUAGGUAGGUGGUCUCGUUUGUCUGGGGUGAAAGCCCGGGGCUCAACCUCGGAAUUGCCUUUGAUACUGGAUAUCUUGAGUUCGGGAGAGGUGAGUGGAAUGCCGAGUGUAGAGGUGAAAUUCGUAGAUAUUCGGCGGAACACCAGUGGCGAAGGCGACUCACUGGCCCGAUACUGACGCUGAGGCGCGAAAGCGUGGGGAGCAAA
rnacentral:rRNA from 1 species